AGAGAGAGAAAGAGAGACGUCAAAUAGAAAUCAGAGAGAUACUAUCACAGCAUUCUGAAGUCCAGGUAUGUCUGGAUGACACCGUCCCCUGCCAGAGACCAUGAUGCAAUGGAUUCAGAUGUCAGGCUGCUGCUCACUGGCAUGAGUCCUAUCAGAUUGUAACCUGAAGAUACAGUUGACAACAUUUGUUUGUUCCCAGAUAGCAAGAGGCCAGUGGACCUUUUUUCUGGUUCUACUAUGUGCCGUGUUCAGCUUCCAGCUCCAGUGAUCACGGAACGUGCAAAGACACCCUCUCACUCGCUAUACGCCACACAAGUGACUCUCGACUAUUAAAAUACUGCUUAGCUCAUCACCCCUAAAUCACCACACCUGUGGGGACUAAUUACUCCAAUGCACCCCAACCAUCAUACAGACAGACUUCCGUUCCUGAACAAUGCCGGGCAGGUUUCACUCUCUGUGUCUGUUGGAACAGGAAGACUUUCCUGAAAUGUUCAACAAAAAGAGGAAAG